rnacentral:rRNA from 1 species
AAACCCUAUCAAACUCCGAAUACCAGAGAUAGUAGCAUGGGAGUCAGACUAUGGGUGCUAAGAUCCGUAGUCGAAAGGGAAACAACCCAGAUCGCAAUCUAAGGUCCCUAAAUCUAGACUAAGUGGUUAAGGAUGUAAAUUUUCAUAGACAGCCAGGAGGUAGGCUUAGAAGCAGCCACCCUUUAAAGACAGCGUAACAGCUCACUGGUCGAUGAAAAUUUGCGCCGAAAAUGAAUCGGGGCUAAGUCUAGUACCGAAGAUGCGGAUUGUAUAUUUAUAUACAGUGGUAGAGGAGCGUUCUUAGUGGAAUGAAGCAUUACCGUAAGGAGAUGUGGACUGCUAAGAAGUGAGAAUCCUGGCAUGAGUAGCGACAAAAGUGGUGAGAAUCCACUUCACCGUAAGCGUAAGGGUUCCUGGGCAAGGCUCGUCCUCCCAGGGUUAGUCGGGACCUAAGGCGAGGCCGAAAGGCGUAGUCGAUGGAAAACAGGUUAAUAUUCCUGUACCACCUAUUGUGAGUGAUGGGGUGACGGAGAAGGAUAGAUCAGCCAAGUGUCGGAUUACUUGGUUCAAGCAUGUAGAAGUAAGGAAUAGGCAAAUCCGUUCCUUUUUAACUUCGAGACGUGAGUUACGAGAGACCUAGUCUCAUAAAGUGAUUGAUUCCAUGCUUCCUAGAAAAACCUCUAAAUGUUGAACAAUAGGUGCUCGUACUGUAAACGGACACACGUACGCGGGUAGAGUAUACCAAGGUGUUUGAGAUAAUUAUGGCUAAGGAACUCGGCAAAAUAGCUCCGUAACUUCGGAAGAAGGAGUGCCUAUAUUAGGUGAAAGCUCUUGCAGCUGGAGCCGAAAUAGGUGGCACUGAAAUGGUGGAAGCGACUGUUUACCAAAAACACAGGCCUGUGCUAACCCGCAAGGGGAUGUAUACGGGCUGACGCCUGCCCGGUGCUGGACGGUUAAGGGGAUGGGUUAUCCUUCGGGAGAAGCUUAGAACCGAAGCCCCAGUAAACGGCGGCCGUAACUAUAACGGUCCUAAGGUAGCGAAAUUCCUUGUCGUCUAAUUAGCGACCCGCAUGAAUGGCGUAACGACUUCUAUGCUGUCUCGGCCAUAAUCUCAGCGAAAUUGUAGUGCUGGUGAAGAUGCCAGCUUCCCGUUGUGGGACGGAAAGACCCCGUGCACCUUUACUAUAACCUAGCACUGGAUUUUGAUGAUAAAUGCGUAGGAUAGGUGGGAGACUUUGAAGAUUCGAUUUCGGUUGGAUCUGAGUCGUUGGUGAAAUACCACCCUUUUACUGUUAGAAUCCUAACUGUAAUCCGUUAUCCGGAUUAAGGACAAUGUUAGGCGGGUAGUUUGACUGGGGCGGUUGACUCCUAAAGAGUAACGGAGUCGCUCAAAGGUUCUCUCAGCCUGAUUGGAAACCAGGCGUCGAGUGUAAUGGCACAAGAGAGCUUGACUGUGAGAUCGACAGAUCGAGCAGGUACGAAAGUAGGACAUAGUGACCCGGUGCCUCCAUGUGGGAGGGGCAUCGAUCAUCGGAUAAAAGGUACGCCGGGGAUAACAGAUUAAUCGCGCCCAAGAGUUCACAUCGACGGCGCGGAUUGAUACCUCGAUGUCGGCUCAUCGCAUCCUGGGGCUGAAGAAGGUCCCAAGGGUUAGGCUGUUCGCCUAUUAAAGCGGUACGCGAGCUGGGUUCAGAACGUCGUGAGACAGUUCGGUCCCUAUCUACAACGGGCGAAGGAAAAUUGAGAGGGCUUGCUCCUAGUACGAGAGGACCGGAGUGAACAAACCUCUAGUGUAUGAGUUGUUGUGCCAACAGCAGUGCUCAGUAGCUACGUUUGGAAAGGAUAACCGCUGAAAGCAUCUUAAGUGGGAAGCCUGCCUCAAGAUUAAUUUUCCCGAACCAUUAGGUUCCUAAAGAUCACUCGAAGACUACGAGUUUGAUAGGCACAGAGUGUAAGUCCUGUAAGGGAUUCAGCUAAUGUGUACUAAUCGAUCGUGAGCCUUUACUAC